rnacentral:rRNA from 1 species
UUUUGAAACAUGGCUCAGGAUGAACGCUGGCGGCGUGCCUAAUACAUGCAAGUCGAACGCACAGCGAAAGGUGCUUGCACCUUUCAAGUGAGUGGCGAACGGGUGAGUAACACGUGGACAACCUGCCUCAAGGCUGGGGAUAACAUUUGGAAACAGAUGCUAAUACCGAAUAAAACUUAGUGUCGCAUGACACAAAGUUAAAAGGCGCUUCGGCGUCACCUAGAGAUGGAUCCGCGGUGCAUUAGUUAGUUGGUGGGGUAAAGGCCUACCAAGACAAUGAUGCAUAGCCGAGUUGAGAGACUGAUCGGCCACAUUGGGACUGAGACACGGCCCAAACUCCUACGGGAGGCUGCAGUAGGGAAUCUUCCACAAUGGGCGAAAGCCUGAUGGAGCAACGCCGCGUGUGUGAUGAAGGCUUUCGGGUCGUAAAGCACUGUUGUAUGGGAAGAACAGCUAGAAUAGGAAAUGAUUUUAGUUUGACGGUACCAUACCAGAAAGGGACGGCUAAAUACGUGCCAGCAGCCGCGGUAAUACGUAUGUCCCGAGCGUUAUCCGGAUUUAUUGGGCGUAAAGCGAGCGCAGACGGUUUAUUAAGUCUGAUGUGAAAGCCCGGAGC